GAUCAUGGCUCAGGAUGAACGCUAGCGGCAGGCUUAACACAUGCAAGUCGAGGGGCAGCAUAAUGGAUAGCAAUAUCUAUGGUGGCGACCGGCGCACGGGUGCGUAACGCGUAUGCAACCUACCUUUAACAGGGGAUAACACUGAGAAAUUGGUACUAAUACCCCAUAAUAUCAUAGAAGGCAUCUUUUAUGGUUGAAAAUUCCGAUGGUUAGAGAUGGGCAUGCGUUGUUA
rnacentral:rRNA from 1 species